rnacentral:rRNA from 1 species
CUAAGACAUGCAAGUCGAACGAGCCGUAAUUGUAGUGGCGAACGGGUGAGUAAUACUUAGGUAAUCUACCUUCGGCAGGGGGAUAACCACGGGAAACUGUGGGUAAUAGCCCAUAACGUCGGGUGUCGCAUGGCAUCCGACCAAAGCUCCGGCGGCUGGAGAUGAGCCUAAGGCCUAUCAGCUUGUUGGUGGGGUAAUGGCCUACCAAGGCGACGACGGGUAGCGGGUGUGAGAGCAUGGCCCGCCACAUCGGAACUGAGACACUGUCCGGACACCUACGGGUGGCUGCAGUAACGAAUCUUCCACAAUGCCCGCAAGGGUGAUGGAGCAAUGCCGCGUGCCAGAGGCAGUCCUUCGGGAUGUAAAUGGCUGUCAGGACCAAGGAAUCAUGACCAGGUCCAAAGGAAGGGGCGACUAACUUCGUGCCAGCAGUCGCGGUAAUACGAAGGCCCCAAGCGUUACUCGGAUUCACUGGGCUUAAAGGGCGUGUAGGCGGAUUGUCAGGUGUUCUGUGAAAGCCCACGGCUCAACCGUGGAAUUGCAGAGCAAACCGGCAGUCUUGAGGCGUGCAGGGGUGACUGGAACUCUGGGUGGAACGGUGAAAUGUAUAGAUAUCCAGGGGAAUGCCAAAGGCGAAAGCAGGUCACUGGGCACGUUCUGACGCUGAGGCGCGAAAGCGUGGGGAGCGAACGGGAUUAGAUACCCCGGUAGUCCACGCCGUAAACGAUGAGCACUAGAUUCGAGGCACUCUCACGUGCUUCGGGUCGUAGCGCAAGCGUUAAGUGCUCCGCCUGGGGACUACGGCCGCAAGGCUAAAACUCAAACGAAUUGACGGGGGCUCACACAAGCGGUGGAGCAUGUGGCUUAAUUCGAAGCAACGCGAAGAACCUUACCUGGGCUUGACAUCUAACGUUUAUCCUGUGGAAACACGGGUGCCUAGCUUGCUAGGGAGUUAGACAGGUGUUGCACGGCUGUCGUCAGCUCGUGCCGUGAGGUGUCAGGUUAAGUCCCUCAACGAGCGAAACCCCUAUCUCUAGUUGCCAGCGGUUCGGCCGGGCACUCUAGCGAGACUGCCGGCGCAAGCCGGAGGAAGGUGGGGAUGACGUCAAGUCAUCGUGGCCCUUACGCCCAGGGAUGCACACGUGCUACAAUGCCAAGUACAAAGCGCUGCAAACUCGCGAGAGUAAGCGAAUCGCAUAAAGCUUGACCCAGUUCAGAUUGGAGUCUGCAACUCGACUCCAUGAAGGCGGAAUCGCUAGUAAUCGCAGAUCAGCUACGCUGCGGUGAAUGAGUUCCUGAGCCUUGUACACACCGCCCGUCAAGUCAUGGAAGCUGGUAACGCCCGAAGU